GACGAACGCUGGCGGCGUGCCUAAUACAUGCAAGUAGAACGCUGAAGGAGGAGCUUGCUUCUCCGGAUGAGUUGCGAACGGGUGAGUAACGCGUAGGUAACCUGCCUGGUAGCGGGGGAUAACUAUUGGAAACGAUAGCUAAUACCGCAUAACAGUAGAUGUUGCAUGACAUUUGCUUAAAAGGUGCAAUUGCAUCACUACCAGAUGGACCUGCGUUGUAUUAGCUAGUUGGUGAGGUAACGGCUCACCAAGGCGACGAUACAUAGCCGACCUGAGAGGGUGAUCGGCCACACUGGGACUGAGACACGGCCCAGACUCCUACGGGAGGCAGCAGUAGGGAAUCUUCGGCAAUGGACGGAAGUCUGAACGAGCAACGCCGCGGGAGGGAAGAAGGUUUUCGGAUCGGAAAGCUCUGUUGUAAGAGAAGAACGAGUGUGAGAGUGGAAAGUUCACACUGUGACGGUAUCUUACCAGAAAGGGACGGCUAACUACGUG
rnacentral:rRNA from 1 species